rnacentral:tRNA from 1 species
UUUUAGGAAGCUUUAUAGAAGUAUUGCUUUGAAGCGGCAUUGAAGGUUACAUACCCUUAAAAA